AUGCAGUCGAGCGGCAGCGGGAAAGUAGCUUGCUACUUUUGCCGGCGAGCGGCGGACGGGUGAGUAAUGCUUGGGGAUCUGCCCGGUCGAGGGGGAUAACCGUUGGAAACGACGGCUAAUACCGCAUACGCCCUACGGGGGAAAGCAGGGGACCUUCGGGCCUUGCGCGAUUGGAUGAACCCAAGUGAGAUUAGCUAGUUGGUGAGGUAACGGCUCACCAAGGCGACGAUCUCUAGCUGGUCUGAGAGGAUGACCAGUCACACUGGGACUGAGACACGGCCCAGACUCCUACGGGAGGCAGCAGUGGGGAAUAUUGCACAAUGGGGGAAACCCUGAUGCAGCCAUGCCGCGUGUGUGAAGAAGGCCUUCGGGUUGUAAAGCACUUUCAGUGGUGAGGAAAGGAGGUUG
rnacentral:rRNA from 1 species